GUAGGUAUCUUCCAUGGCGGACCACGUCAUGGUUAUCGCCGGCGAAUGGAAGAUGUCCGACGACGGAACUCAGGAUAAAAUCUUUCAAUUUGUGAGAGCCCCUCUUGUAGAAAAUUAUCUGGUUGAAUUUAACAGUUCUCGAUUUGAAAGUUUAAAUCUUUGAAUCAAAUAUGUUAUUUACGUUUAUGUGUUAUAUCAUGUGUACACUCCCUGUCUGGACAGUCUUCUCCAUGUGUACACACGAUCCAAUAUACAACUAUUUUUAUGAUAAUACAAGUGAACUGGUGUACAUGUGAAUCA